AUACGUAGGGGGCGAGCAUUGUCCGGAAUGAUUGGGCGUAAAGGGCGCGUAGGCGGCCCGGUAAGUCUGGAGUGAAAGUCCUGUUUUUAAGAUGGGAAUUGCUUUGGAUACUGUCGGGCUUGAGUGCAGGAGAGGUAAGUGGAAUUCCCAGUGUAGCGGUGAAAUGCGUAGAGAUUGGGAGGAACACCAGUGGCGAAGGCGACUUACUGGACUGUAACUGACGCUGAGGCGCGAAAGUGUGGGGAGCAAACAGGAUUAGAUACCCUGGUAGUCCACACUGUAAACGAUGAAUGCUAGGUGUAGGGGGUAUCGACCCCUUCUGUGCCGCAGUCAACACAAUAAGCAUUCCGCCUGGGGAGUACGGCCGCAAGGUUGAAACUCAAAGGAAUUGACGGGG
rnacentral:rRNA from 1 species